CAGAGGGUAUUUUAUAUAAAAUAUUAGUUUUGGGGACUAAUGAAAUGGUUUUAUUCCUUUCCUCUGA
rnacentral:tRNA from 1 species